rnacentral:tRNA from 1 species
GCGCGGGUGGUGGAACGGUAUACACGUAUGUUUAAGGAACAUAUGGCGCAAGCUGUGCAGGUUCGAUUCCUGUCCCGCGCA